GUUUCUAGAUCAGGUGUUGCCAAAUCUUCCUCUUAAAAACUUGGAUAAUUUUGCACAUGUAAGUUAAGACGUAGUACCACCACCAUCUCCGUGUGAAUUGGUGAUAAUUUGACAUUCAUGAUGGCUUCUGUUAACCUUCAUUUUUUUUUUCAUCUUUCCAAAAUUAUGCAUUCCUUCUACUUGUUAUGUUUUAAUGGGGCUUGGAUUAAAAUGCUUCUUUGAUAUUGUAACAGAUAAAUAUUUUCCAACUUACACUGUAUCAAAUAAUUAUUCUUAAAUAUCAAGAAUAAUGAAUAAAAUAAAUUUUGACUUGAAAAUUACCAGGAGAUUCCUAAUUUAUUGAGUGGAAGGAAAUUUAUUCAGAUUGAAGAGAAAGAGUCUUUCAUAUGAUUCCUAAGUCCUCAGGAUAUUUAGUUACUUCAUUUUAAGUGGCUAAACUGCAAAAUGAAGAGAAUGGAUUUUGUUAUUUUCAAACUUUUAAAAAUGAUUUUUAGUAAAACCUUUUGAAAAAUAUAUAACCUACAUUCUUCCAAUUGAUAAAAGCAGAGUUGCUCUAAUUGAAGGUGCUUCUGGCUAAUAAGCUGUGUCUUUAAGAAUAGCUUGAAAACCAUAUAUUUUUAAGUGACAAAGAAGAGGUACAGGGAAGGAUAGACUGUCCUAUAGUUUGGUUUGACUGAAGCUGUAUGCUUAACUAGUAUAGUGUCCAAAGAAAGAUACCUGUUAGAAUAGAAUAUUUUAUGUGUGUGUGUUGGCAACAAUAUGGAAUGAUGCUUCCACGUAUCUUCACUUAGGCCUUCUUUGUUUAUGUGACCUUCAUUUAGAUGCCAAUUUAGAAGAGAAUUAAUACUACAGCCUGUUUCUCAGUAGCACAAUGCUAAAAUUAUCCAAAUAAUAAUACUCCACACCCCCUCAAACCCAAGUGCCCUGAAUGGCAUUGUACUUAC
rnacentral:lncRNA from 1 species